GCGAAUCCGAGAUGUGGCGCUCCGCUGAGGGGAAAGCCUCGCUUGACGAACCAGAAACUCGAGGAGUUUGACUAGAUUGUCGAGGGAGCCAGAGACCAGCUGGUGCUCAUGGGAAGGAGCCCACUUCACAGCAGUGACCCAACCUGUGUGUGACGUCAGAGACAGCAGUACCAACGAACCAUCUGAAAAACACAGACGAGAACAUACAUAUGACACUCUUAGAACAGCUAAAUGGGGGAAGCAAUGGUACCUUUGGUGCGCGGGUCCCAGAGUCUGACGUGUCUGUCGGUGCUACCUGAGGCCAGCCGUCGACACAGCGUCUCUGUGUCCCACACACGGAUGGUGUGAUCCCAGGAUGCACUAUACAACUCCUCGCUGUUGCACCACAGGACAGAGGACACUGCCUCGGUGUGCCCAGAUAAUGUCAUAA